rnacentral:rRNA from 1 species
UACAGAGGGUGCAAGCGUUAAUCGGAAUUACUGGGCGUAAAGCGUGCGUAGUCGGUUAUUUAAGUCGGGUGUGAAAGCCCCGGGCUCAACCUGGGAAUUGCAUUCGAUACUGGAUAGCUAGAGUUCGGCAGAGGGAAGCGGAAUUUCCGGUGUAGCGGUGAAAUGCGUAGAUAUCGGAAGGAACAUCAGUAGCGAAAGCGGCUUCCUGGACCAGAACUGACGAUCAGGCACGAAAGCGUGGGGAGCAAACAGG